UCGUCUUGCCGUAGUGUUGCGAUUGAAUGAAUGCAUAAUCAAGUAUAGACCGUAUGACUUACUAGAGGGGUAGCUAUUGGGAGCAUCAAUUGUUUACAUUCUAUGGUUUCCUAAUUAUAUUUUAUAUCCGAAGUAUAGAUAUGUUUAUUAGUAGAUUCUAUAUAUUAGAGUAAAUAUUAAAUACGUACAUAAUUAUUCAGUUAAUCAAAUUAUGAUUAUAAAUAUUUGGUUCGAAUUUGUAUGUGUAAUUUAUUAGUUACUCCUAUAAAUCGUGGUCUUUCGUCUGGGAUCAAGCAUGGCAGCCAAAUUUGUGCGUUGCGGAAAGGGGUGAAGUCAAAAAGUUUUCACAUAUGUGUAUUGUGUGUAUGUUCAACUUGAUAUUCAUCAUAUAAUCAACUUAGAAUUGUCUGUCAACUAAAUGAUGAUAUAAAGAGAAUUCAUUGAACCCUAAAA